rnacentral:tRNA from 1 species
GACGCGGUAGCCUGGUGGUUAACGUGUUGGUAUUCAGAUCCACAUGGCUCGGGUUCGAUCCCCGAAGCAGUCA